AUUUCUCAGUAGACUACAAGGAGACCUUUCAAACCCACUUCUUUCUCUUCUCCAGGCAGCCACUUCCUGUUUGAAGACCCCCAAGUGAGCAGGAUCUGCUGACCUCAAGUUUUAUAUGCAGAGAAAAGCAACAAAGGCCCAGCAUAGCAACAGCCCCCCGGCAACACUGCAGGCAUGCUAACAGUUCCCAGUUGCACCCCAUGGAGGUACUCAAAUGAGAAGAAGGGACAGUGUUACAGUAUAAAGUGUGGCUUUGGGAGCAUGAUCACAGAUGAUAAUUUCAGAAACUUCCUGUGUUCUCUUCAGUGCCUUGGACCAUCUAUACAUGCCGCUCUUCCGCCCUCGCCUUCUCUGAACUUCCCCAAGGUAGCCUCUUUGCCACCGGGAUGCAAGGGGCACGCAGCACCUUUCCUCUUUUGGACCAUAGUAACUUCUGACACAAAGGCAAAGUCCAGAGAAACCAUGACUGAGCGAUGGCACUUUGCCGCCAGUGCCAGAAACACAGGGGCCUAGUGAAGGACUUCGGCAACAGAACCAGGGAAAAGGAGAGGCAGCCUCACCCUUAAAUGGAAAGGAUCGGGACGGUCUUGAGGUACAGUAGUCGGAUCCUGCGACCGAAAGGCCAGUAAAGCAGAGAUGGGCUGUGUGAAAGCUUUGAGUUUGACACGUGGCAUCUCUGCUUUGUGGUGGACCAAGGGAAGGCAAACUUGUUCAAUAAGGAGACAGUUAACGUGAGGAUUCUGGAGAACCGCUGUUCUGGCACACGUGCGACUCCUGGCAGCGGGACUCUUGUAGGUCUCAUUUGCUCAGGCUGCCAAGUUUGCGGUGGGGGUUGCAGUUUGGCUCCCUGGGUGUGAUUCUCAGUACCAUUUGGAUGGGUUUACCA
rnacentral:lncRNA from 1 species